UGAGGAAUAUUGGACAAUGGAGGCAACUCUGAUCCAGCCAUGCCGCGUGCAGGAAGACUGCCCUAUGGGUUGUAAACUGCUUUUAUACAGGAAGAAUAGUAUCUACGUGUAGGUAUUUGACGGUACUGUACGAAUAAGGAUCGGCUAACUCCGUGCCAGCAGCCGCGGUAAUACGGAGGAUCCAAGCGUUAUCCGGAAUCAUUGGGUUUAAAGGGUCCGUAGGCGGUCUGAUAAGUCAGAGGUGAAAUCCUGCAGCUCAACUGUAGCAUUGCCUUUGAUACUGUUAGACUUGAGUUAUUGUGAAGUAGUUAGAAUGUGUGGUGUAGCGGUGAAAUGCAUAGAUAUCACAC
rnacentral:rRNA from 1 species